UGACACGCCCACUCCGGUUCGCAGGAAAAAACAAGUAUUUUUUGGUUCGACUUCCGAACCAAGGUGCCACGUUCCGAACCGGCUUUUGUUUGGUGGAAACGCAACAAACGGUUCAAAUGUUAGUUCGCGAACGGGAACGGAGACGGUUCUCUGUCGGUGGAAAAGGGCCUUGAGUGACCAUUGUUUGGCAUUUCAAGCCCCCGUGUUCCUCCGCUGUCACUGCCCAAAGAUCCUUCCUGACCGCUUGGGCAAGCGUAUGUUCCUAUCCGGUAAAACAUCUUUAAAGGGCAUCACCCGCUACCCUGCCGGAAGCCACUGCAAGAAUGAGGAAGUAAUCAUUGUAUUGGCUCGAGGAAAACUUGUGUGUGUGAAUCCUAAAGCAAGUUGGGUGAUUGCAGUAGAGAAACG